UUUUUCACAUGCAUUUUUGGACCACCCUAUUGCGCAUACAGACACAUAAAAGAGCAAUCAAAGCCCUCACCAAAACACCAACACCGCCGACAACUUUACUUCAACGCAGGAACGAUCAUUAAAAACACAUAGCAACAACAACAACAAAAAAGUGAUAAGGUAUGCGUUGCCGCGAACACGCGAGAAUCACAUCACAAAUAAAUAAGAAUUUCGUAGAAAGCUAUAGGAUUGAGGGACUGGCUUGCUGGCUGACUGCCUUGUCGUUUAAGUAACUGACUGUCUAAGCAAGCGUGGACGUUAUGUCUGUUCGAAUGUACACAUAUUUAUGUACAUACAAUAUGUGAUUAAAUACCUAACUACAUACAUGUGUAUGUACAAAGUAUACAAUGUCGGUUUAUCAGCCAGCGAUAAAAAAAAAAAUUUAAAAAAAAUUAAAAAUCAACAUAUAAGAACACCACAACAGCUCCGUGUCAAAAAUGAUGACGAUGCUGUAUGAAAGUACAAAUAAACAACACAACAUGCAUGCAUACAGACAGAUAAAACUCGGCUUCCAACAUUGGACCCUUUCAUAUGUAUGCUUCAUUCGUGGGCCGCGACGACUUACACAUACCAAAAUACAUACGUACCCAAGGAAUAUGUGCCCAUUUAGUGAUAUGUACAAUUAGGCACAGAAAUGCGCUCAAUUCCUGGAUGUCUUCGGAGGUGCUUCUCCCCGAGCCCGAAGUUUCCAAAAGUCCUGGAUCUUUCCGAAAACUAAGUUGGAAAUUAAAUAUUUUAAUACACUU